rnacentral:rRNA from 1 species
GACGAAGGGGGCGAGCGUUGUUCGGAAUCACUGGGCGUAACGGGCGCGUAGGCGGCGCAGUCAGUCAGGCGUGAAAGCCCCCGGCUCAACUGGGGAGGGUCACGCGAUACUGCUCGACUCGAAGGCAGGAGAGGGAAGUGGAAUUCCCGGUGUAGUGGUGAAAUGCGUAGAUAUCGGGAGGAACACCAGUGGCGAAGGCGACUUCCUGGCCUGUUCUUGACGCUGAGGCGCGAAAGCUAGGGUAGCAAACGGG